GAUGAACGCUGGCGGCGUGCCUAAUACAUGCAAGUCGAGCGAAUGGAUUAAGAGCUUGCUCUUAUGAAGUUAGCGGCGGACGGGUGAGUAACACGUGGGUAACCUGCCCAUAAGACUGGGAUAACUCCGGGAAACCGGGGCUAAUACCGGAUAACAUUUUGAACCGCAUGGUUCGAAAUUGAAAGGCGGCUUCGGCUGUCUCUUAUGGAUGGAACCGCGUCGCAUUAGCUUGUUGGUGAGGUAACGGCUCACCAAGGCAACGAGGCGUAGCCGACCUGAGAGGGUGAUCGGCCACACUGGGACUGAGACACGGCCCAGACUCCUACGGGAGGCAGCAGUAGGGAAUCUUCCGCAAUGGACGAAAGUCUGACGGAGCAACGCCGCGUGAGUGAUGAAGGCUUUCGGGUCGUAAAGCUCUGUUGUUAGGGAAGAACAAGUGCUAGUUGAAUAAGCUGGCACCUUGACGGUACCUAACCAGAAAGCCACGGCUAACUACGUGCCAGCCGCCGCGGUAA
rnacentral:rRNA from 1 species